UUGCAAACUAAAGAUGGCGACCGGCGCACGGGUGAGUAACACGUAUCCAACCUGCCGAUAACUCGGGGAUAGCCUUUCGAAAGAAAGAUUAAUGUCCGAUGGUAUAUUAAAACCGCAUGGUUUUACUAUUAAAGAAUUUCGGUUAUCGAUGGGGAUGCGUUCCAUUAGUUUGUUGGCGGGGUAACGGCCCACCAGGACUACGAUGGAUAGGGGUUCUGAGAGGAAGGUCCCCCACAUUGGAACUGAGACACGGUCCAA
rnacentral:rRNA from 1 species